rnacentral:rRNA from 1 species
AAGUGAGAAUGCCGGUGUGAGUAGCGAAAGACGGGUGAGAAUCCCGUCCACCGAUUGACUAAGGUUUCCAGAGGAAGGCUCGUCCGCUCUGGGUUAGUCGGGUCCUAAGCUGAGGCCGACAGGCGUAGGCGAUGGAUAACAGGUUGAUAUUCCUGUACCACCUAUAAUCGUUUUAAUCGAUGGGGGGACGCAGUAGGAUAGGCGAAGCGUGCGAUUGGAUUGCACGUCUAAGCAGUAAGGCUGAGUAUUAGGCAAAUCCGGUACUCGUUAAGGCUGAGCUGUGAUGGGGAGAAGACAUUGUGUCUUCGAGUCGUUGAUUUCACACUGCCGAGAAAAGCCUCUAGAUAGAAAAUAGGUGCCCGUACCGCAAACCGACACAGGUAGUCAAGAUGAGAAUUCUAAGGUGAGCGAGCGAACUCUCGUUAAGGAACUCGGCAAAAUGACCCCGUAACUUCGGGAGAAGGGGUGCUCUUUAGGGUUAACGCCCAGAAGAGCCGCAGUGAAUAGGCCCAAGCGACUGUUUAUCAAAAACACAGGUCUCUGCUAAACCGUAAGGUGAUGUAUAGGGGCUGACGCCUGCCCGGUGCUGGAAGGUUAAGAGGAGUGGUUAGCUUCUGCGAAGCUACGAAUCGAAGCCCCAGUAAACGGCGGCCGUAACUAUAACGGUCCUAAGGUAGCGAAAUUCCUUGUCGGGUAAGUUCCGACCCGCACGAAAGGCGUAACGAUUUGGGCACUGUCUCAACGAGAGACUCGGUGAAAUCAUAGUACCUGUGAAGAUGCAGGUUACCCGCGACAGGACGGAAAGACCCCGUGGAGCUUUACUGUAGCCUGAUAUUGAAAUUCGGCACAGCUUGUACAGGAUAGGUAGGAGCCUUUGAAACGUGAGCGCUAGCUUACGUGGAGGCGCUGGUGGGAUACUACCCUAGCUGUGUUGGCUUUCUAACCCGCACCACUUAUCGUGGUGGGAGACAGUGUCAGGCGGGCAGUUUGACUGGGGCGGUCGC